AUAAUGGGUCAGCGACUUAUAUUCUGUAGCAAGGUUAACCGAAUAGGGGAGCCGAAGGGAAACCGAGUCUUAACUGGGCGUUAAGUUGCAGGGUAUAGACCCGAAACCCGGUGAUCUAGCCAUGGGCAGGUUGAAGGUUGGGUAACACUAACUGGAGGACCGAACCGACUAAUGUUGAAAAAUUAGCGGAUGACUUGUGGCUGGGGGUGAAAGGCCAAUCAAACCGGGAGAUAGCUGGUUCUCCCCGAAAGCUAUUUAGGUAGCGCCUCGUGAAUUCAUCUCCGGGGGUAGAGCACUGUUUCGGCAAGGGGGUCAUCCCGACUUACCAACCCGAUGCAAACUGCGAAUACCGGAGAAUGUUAUCACGGGAGACACACGGCGGGUGCUAACGUCCGUCGUGAAGAGGGAAACAACCCAGACCGCCAGCUAAGGUCCCAAAGUCAUGGUUAAGUGGGAAACGAUGUGGGAAGGCCCAGACAGCCAGGAUGUUGGCUUAGAAGCAGCCAUCAUUUAAAGAAAGCGUAAUAGCUCACUGGUCGAGUCGGCCUGCGCGGAAGAUGUAACGGGGCUAAACCAUGCACCGAAGCUGCGGCAGCGACGCUGAUGCGUUGUUGGGUAGGGGAGCGUUCUGUAAGCCUGUGAAGGUGUGCUG
rnacentral:rRNA from 1 species